rnacentral:rRNA from 1 species
CAGUCGCCGCGGGAAUACGGAGGGAGCUAGCGUUAUUCGGAAUUACUGGGCGUAAAGCGCACGUAGGCGGCUUUGUAAGUAAGAGGUGAAAGCCCGGAGCUCAACUCCGGAACUGCCUUUUAGACUGCAUCGCUUGAAUCCAGGAGAGGUGAGUGGAAUUCCGAGUGUAGAGGUGAAAUUCGUAGAUAUUCGGAGGAACACCAGUGGCGAAGGCGGCUCACUGGUCCAUUACUGACGCUGAGGUGCGAAAGCGUGGGGAGCAAACAGGAUUAGAUACCCCCGUAGUCCCUGUCUCUUAUAC